UUAGCUUGUAAUCUCCAAAUGCCUUCGAAAGAGGAAUCCUAAUCCCUAAUAAGGCCUUGGGCAGCCUCCUUGAAGCCCAUUGGGCAUGGUAUUCGACCAAUAGGGAUGAAGUUCCCCAUUCCUUGCCUUCAUUCAACCAUACCUUGCUUUCAUCCCUCCCAAUUAGCCUCCUACUAGUUUAGAUUUUCAUCUUUAGGCUUCCACCU
rnacentral:lncRNA from 1 species